UUUACCUACGGGACGCAGCAGUGAGGAAUAUUGGUCAAUGGCCGGAAGGCUGAACCAGCCAAGUCGCGUGGGGGGCGACUGCCCUAUGGGUUGUAAACCUCUUUUAUAAGGGAAGAAUAAAUGCUACGUGUAGCAUGAUGCCUGUACCUUAUGAAUAAGCAUCGGCUAACUCCGUGCCAGCAGCCGCGGUAAUACGGAGGAUGCGAGCGUUAUCCGGAUUUAUUGGGUUUAAAGGUUGCGUAGGCGGUUUUUUAAGUUAGUGGUUAAACGUCGGGGCUUUACCUUGAUUUGCCUUUAAUACUGUA
rnacentral:rRNA from 1 species